rnacentral:rRNA from 1 species
GAUGAACGCUAGCGGGAGGCUUAAUACAUGCAAGUCGAGGGGUAACAUAGAAGCUUGCUUCUGAUGACGACCGGCGAACGGGUGAGUAACGCGUACACAACCUACCUUCAAGUGGGGGAUAGCCUCGGGAAACUGAGAUUAAUACCCCAUGUGAUUAACUUAUAGUAUGAUUGGUUAAUUAAAGUUCCGGCGCUUGAAGAUGGGUGUGCGUCCCAUUAGGUAGUUGGUGAGGUAACGGCUCACCAAGCCGACGAUGGGUAGGGGGCGUGAGAGCGUGGCCCCCCACACGGGUACUGAGACACGGGCCCGACUCCUACGGGAGGCAGCAGUAAGGAAUAUUGGACAAUGGGCGAAAGCCUGAUCCAGCUAUCCCGCGUGCAGGAUGACGGCCCUACGGGUUGUAAACUGCUUUUGUCAGGGACGAAACCCUUGGAUUUACUCCGAGGCUGACGGUACCUGAAGAAUAAGCACCGGCUAACUCCGUG